rnacentral:rRNA from 1 species
UACGGAGGAUGCGAGCGUUAUCCGGAUUUAUUGGGUUUAAAGGGUGCGUAGGCGGUAUGGUAAGUCAGCGGUAAAAGCCCGGGGCUCAACCCCGGCGAGCCGUUGAAACUGGCUGGCUUGAGUUGGGGAAAGGCAGGCGGAAUGCGCGGUGUAGCGGUGAAAUGCAUAGAUAUCACGCAGAACGCCGAUUGCGAAGGCAGCUUACCGGCGCUCAACUGACGCUGAAGCACGAAAGCGUGGGUAUCGAACAGG